rnacentral:rRNA from 1 species
CCUACGGGAGGCAGCAGUGAGGAAUAUUGGUCAAUGGACGAGAGUCUGAACCAGCCAAGUAGCGUGAAGGAUGACUGCCCUAUGGGUUGUAAACUUCUUUUAUAAAGGAAUAAAACGAGGCACGUGUGCCGUUUUGCAUGUACUUUAUGAAUAAGGAUCGGCUAACUCCGUGCCAGCAGCCGCGGUAAUACGGAGGAUCCGAGCGUUAUCCGGAUUUAUUGGGUUUAAAGGGAGCGUAGAUGGGUUGUUAAGUCAGUUGUGAAAGUUUGCGGCUCAACCGUUAAAUUGCAAUUGAUACUGGCAGUCUUGAGUACAGUUGAGGUAGGCGGAAUUCGUGGUGUAGCGGUGAAAUGCUUAGAUAUCACGAAGAACCCCGAUUGCGAAGGCAGCUUACUAAACUGUGACUGACAUUGAUGCUCGAAAGUGUGGGUAUCAAAUAGGAUUAGAUACCCGAGUAGUC